rnacentral:misc_RNA from 1 species
GAUGAAGAACGUAGCGAAAUGCAAUAAGUAAUGCGAAUUGCAGAAUCCGUGAGUCAUCGAAUCUUUGAACGCACAUUGCGCCCUUUGGUAUUCCGAAGGGCAUGCCUGUUCGAGCGUCAUUAUCACCACUCAAGCCCGGCUUGCUGUUGGUGGCAGCGCAGCCGGUCAACCGGCUACGCUCCACCCAAAGAUAAUGACGGCGUCUGCGAGGACUCCUGUACAUUGAGCUUUCGGGCACGUACAUGGCUAGAAGUCCAGGCGCCGGUCGACGUCCUCCGGGACACUUUUUACCAAGGUUGACCUCGGAUCAGGUAGGGAUACCCGCUGAACUUAAGCAUAUCAAUAAGCGGAGGA